AAGUGUUUAGGAUGAUGUCACGACCAUGGCAUGAAGAGGAAUACCUAAGACUAUUUGGUAGUAUUUGGAAAGAUCCCCCAGCACCAGUGUUGAAUUACAAUCCAAGCAAGAGAGACAACCAGGUUCUGUGACACGUGAUUCAGAAUCAGAAGUUUCUGGACCCCGGCACUUCCACUUGAGGAGUAAUGAAGAAAGGAAACCUCAAGAAAGGCAAGCGCUUGCCUUGCACUUUGAGGCAUCCUCACAGUUCUCGGACAGCUCCCACCAGCAGCCUCCUGUUCCUCAGCUUUAUAACAGCAAACCAGGACACACCAGAAGACAGCGUGGGAGCAACAUGUAUUGUGGCUUGUUAAGGCAUGACACCUACCAAUUAUGACCUAUUAUGAUGAUAUUUUUUGUGAAGGGCUUUUUCAAUAAACAGAAUAGCAGAUUAGCUCAGAAAACUCUAGAAAUAUCCCUAGUCUACAAAAUUAACCUCUAGUUCUCCUAAUACUCAGACUUGAGUUUUAUGAAGUCAGUUGAUGAAAUAUAAUAAUAAAUAUAAUAAAUCUUAUAUUUUUAUACACAUACACCUAUAUGUUUAUAUUUAUGGAUAUAUGUGCAUAUACAUGCAGACUUUUUUUCUUUGAAAAACUAGUGUCAACUGUGAACCCUAUAAUUGCCCACAGGUGCAAUUGUGGUGCAAAUAUCAUGGGGGGAAACUCUGCUUCCUGAUCAGAAGGAAGAUCAGCUCAGUGAGAUGAAAUAUAUACACUGUAAAUCUGGCUGAGAACCCACACCUGAAGGGCUCAUAGGUCCCAGAGGUGAAACUAGUACUAUUAUUUGCUACGUGGACAGAGUGUCAAACUGCUGUCUGAAGUUAAACCUGUAUAUCCAUAGAUCAGUGCAGCUCUCAGACCUCAUCAGAGAAGUUCCAUUGUGCAGAGGACAGCAGUUAAUACAGAAACUCACAACUGGUCCAAGUGUGGAGAAUAAGUGUCAAUGUUCAGCCAUUAAGGGGACAUCCAUAUCACACACACCCCUCAGGGCUCAGGGACCAUCUCAGAAGAGGGGGCAGAUAGACUGUAAGAGUUGGAGGUCUCAGAGAAUCAAGACAAAACAGUAUCUUCUGGAUAAGACAGGGCACACCCACCCUGAUCCCUCACAGAAGGAAGGGCACUCCUUGACUUGCUUCUCCUUGUCUGUCCGUUAAUGAGAAACAGUGGCGUAAUGGCUGGCCAGAUGGUGAUAAUCUGGACAGCACACCUCUCAGGCUGGCU
ensembl:lncRNA